rnacentral:lncRNA from 1 species
UAAUGUAGAAUGAAGUCACAAAUUAAUAUAUAUGGGGCCACAAAUAUCUGUAAAUUCAUCAAACUAGAAGUCAACCAAAAAUAUUGGGUCCCAAAGCCCACAAAUCAGUUCAAGCAUUAAUGGUUAAUACAUAUCCUUCCCAAAAAACAGAGUACUAGAUUUCUAAACUAAAGUAUAGAUUGCACCACCAAUGUCAGACUUCAACCAUCUCUAUCAUUAUAUCCAACAGCCUCCUCAUGAUCAAUAUCAAAUUGGACUGCAUUGAAAAUAAAGCAUUAUAUGCAUUAGAAUAGACUUUAGUCAGAAAAUAUGCUAUUACAACCUUAUACGACUAAAUUUGAAUGAAUAGUCAUACACAACAAUGCUUUAAGAUUCUUCGAAUUAGUUUGGGUAUCUUGGUUUGGUUUUUGUACACAUACUUCAAAUAAUUUUACAAUUUGAAGUGAUAUUUACUUUUCAGAAUUUCCAAUGCAUCCUGACCAUGUUUCUUGUAUAUGCUUUCUUUUUGAGUUUGCAAACAAGGCGCAAAUGAAAGUAAGAGGACAUAGAGGUGCUGAUCCUAUUUUUGAUGAAAUUUUGGUUACAAUUAAUUUAUAUGUGAUCAUAUAUAGUCAAAUGUUUAUAAAUGAGAGCAUUUUCUUUUAGCUACUACUUUUGGUUAUUGAGUUUGUGAUAAAAAUAACUGAAUUCCAAUAUAUAACUCAACUUUGACAUCUAUUUCUAGGUAAAAAAACAGGAUCAAAAGGAUUUGUGGCUGUUUUAAAACAAUAUUGGGAACUUAAAAUAAUUUUCAUAUUAAAACAACAUGGUCCAGUUUUCAAAGAAAGAAAAUGGUCCAAGUAACUUAAACCACAAUGAGAAAAAUAACUUGGAAAAGUUCUUGCCUUUGAAUGUUAAAUGUCUAAGCAGUUAACAAGUUGUGUAUAAUCUAAAAUAUUGGAAAGUCAAUUGCAUAAUUGCACUUUAUUUGUAAUAUCUACAGAUAUGCUCAAAGAGGAACAAGGGAAUCAACAUGUAUUUUCUAAUAUUCUUUGUGGAAAAAACAUAUGAAAGAGAGUAAGCAUCACCUUCUGACAAUGUGAAAUAGCCUCUAAGUUAUGUUCCUGCUCUUCAAUUAAUCUUCUCUCAAGCUCCUUAACCUAAAAAUGGAGAAGAGAACUGGUUAUUUAAGCUUCUCUAGCCACCAGUUGAAGCAUGAAAUGGUGCUGAUGUUGCUGGUUGGAUGAACAACCUUUUGUUGAGAAUCAAAGGGAGGCUGAUGUUGCUGAAGCCAUUGCUCUUCUAGCUACCAGAAAGGCUGGAUGGGCUUAGCAGGCAAAGAUGGCUGAAGUGGAGGCUGAAAAAGCUGCAGCUAUUAGGGAGGCAGAGUUACAAAAAAGAAGUUGAGAGGAAAAAUGCAUUGGCCAAGAUUGAGCAACUAAAGGCUAAACAACUCAGCAAGGCUACUGUUGAUUAUGAGAUUAAGGUUCAAGAGGCAAAUUAUGUUCUCUACAAGAAGCAAAAGGAAUAUGAGGCAGUGCUAUACAAGAGACAAAAGGCUGUAGAAGCUCAAAAAGUGGCAGCAGAAGCUCAACUAUAUGCAGUUCAACAAGCUGUAGAUGCAGAACUUUAUGCAAAAAGAGAGAAGCUAAAGGAAUGAAGGCUCUUGCAGAAGCACAAGGAUUCAAAAUCCGCACCUUAUUGACAUCAUUGGGUUGAAGCUACAAUGCUUUAAGAGAUUAUCUGAUGAUUGAAAGUGGCAUGUUCAAGGACAUUGCCAAAAUCAAUGCUGAGGCGAUCCAAGGACUACAACCUAAGAUUAGUGUUUGGUCAAAUGGAGAGGCCAGAGAUGGAUCAGGUACUGCAAAUUCAGCCAUGAAAGAAACAACAUUAGUUUACGCUGCAUUGCCACCUUUGUUCCAGACCGUGCACGAGCACACCAGUAUGUUGCCUCCGGCUUGGAUGGGCAGUCUACCUAGUCCUAGUGCAGGCAAGGCUAUAACAAACCAGCCAGAGAAUUAGAUAUCAGGACAGUUGCUUGUUGUAGUGCAGUUUCUUAGGUGGAGAUUUUCCAACAAAAAGCUUCUAGACAGUUACUCAUUAAAUUGUUCUUGUUAGAAGAAUUUACUUGUUAUUCUAGUACAUAUUUGACAAAAAAUUUUAUCACUGCUGGAUUGUAGAAGAAUGGUCAUCCAUGUCUGAUUAAGUUCAUUUUGUGAUUUCAAUUUAUGUUUUUCAGCAUUCCCACAAAAUUUUUUUUUGUAAAGUUACCUUAGGAAUCUAGCACACCAAUAACUUACUAUGGAAGACCUUGUUCUUGAAAUUUUAAUUGAAAUAAAAGAAAGAAUUUUAAGUCCCAGGUUAGCAGGACCACUGAAGAUGAAGUCUACAACUUUAGAUACCUGCUUUCAGGUUUUAUUAAUGAAGGAAUUUCAGGUGCUUAAAUAUCACUUCUUGUCUAACAUGGAUUUGGGAAGUACAGUGCUAGAGAUGGUAGAGUAAUUUCAGUGGCUAAAGGAAGGCAAGACAGACUGAGUUUCCUUUUAUUUGCUUCAACAUAAGACACAUGGGUUAACCUACCACCUCCCCACUGUCGCCCAUUUUUGUUGUAUGUCUACAUUUCCUUUUGUGUGCAUCAGCCUAUGCCUGAGGGGCGAGUGAUUUGAAGCUAGGAGGUUAAAUCAGUAAAGUUUUAAGUCAGACAAGAAAGCUGAAAAUGCAAAUAAUGUAUGAAAAGAUUUGGAGAAAUUAGCUUAACUAUUUAUGAAACGAACUUGGAUGUCAUACCAUAGAAAGUUAUAGGCAGAAGUCUCAGUAGGAACAAGAUUAAACAAGCCAAAGAACAAAAAAUUACCUUAUGAGUCACAUAAGGUAAUCCUUUAUCAGAGAAACUUGCAAACAUGUCAAAUGGAAAACCAUGACAGCGAAGUAAACAAAACAACACCAGAUUUUGAAGAUAGCAAAAUUAGCCACAAUAUAUAUCUACAAAAGGGUAGACAAAUUUUCAUAGCUUAGGUAGAACACAAUACAAAACAUCAAAGUAUAAAUAAACAAAAGAAUUGGAAUAUGAAGUACAGCAAAUUAGCACUUUUGUGUAGAUUUCAGUAAACUAUAACCUUUAGGCCAUAAAGAAGUCAUCUUUUCCUUUAGAGAUAACACGAUUGUAGAAGGAUUAAACUUGCUUGGUCCAAUGUCACUGCCAUCAGCAAGCCUGAAUUUCAUCUCAACCAAAUCUUCCACAGCCAUUGAACAACCUCAGCACAUUAAACCAACCUCAAGUUUCUCGAGUCCACAAACUCAAAUCAUCUCCAACUCCACAAAAGGAUGAAAAACAACAAUCUUUCUUGCUUUUACCGAAAAACCAAAUCAAAACUGAAGCGUUCACCCUUUAAAAACUCAAAUUUUAGAUUUCAUAAAAAGCCAAAAUGGGCUAGCUCAUUUAUUAUUCUUUUCAAUUAGAAAUAGCACUUCCAAAGAGACAUGAGAAAUUUAACCAAAUUUUGCCAAAACCCAAAUCAAGAUUCACAGGACUCUACCCAAAAGUCACAAACAAAGAACCAAUUCAUGAAAAUCUAACAAAUCUAUAAAACCAGAACAAAAAGGGAUUCAAGAACCUAAAAACUAAAUCUGACAAGAAAUAGAGAAGGUGCAACUAGCCAUAGCCAUGAACAUCCCUACCAUGCAAUGCAAAAUUAGACACAAAUAUUGAAAUUACCUCAAACUAUGCCUUCAAUCCCUAACUUCCCGUUUUCCCCUAGCUUCAAGCUCUAAACUCCAGCUUUCACCCAAAUUUUCAAGCCCUAAUUUCUAAUUUCUUGCCACCAAGCCAAUGUAUCAAGCUCUGAAUUAGGGAUGUUGGUGGUGCGAGCUCAACAAAGUUACCCAAAUUGAAAGUGCUUGCACUAAUUGUUUAUGGAAGACAAUCGAAAACUCUAGUUCAUGGAUGGAUUUGGUAGUGCGAGCUUGAUACAGAGUAGUACAUUC